rnacentral:lncRNA from 1 species
UCCCGCAUGCUUCACUAGACAUAGACAUUUCACUGCAGGACAAUCACACCAAUAGGUUGCACCUAACGCACAAGGACCCAAAAUGGCUUGGGUACCAAAAUCUCAUUAAUAGUGGAUGCUCCAAACAUAUGACCGGGGAUGCAUCAAAAUUCCUUCAACUAAAACCCACGGAAGGAGGAAAUGUUAUUUUUGGAGACAAUAACAAAGUCUUUGGUACCUUGAUAGUGGAUGCUCCAAACAUAUGACCGGGGAUGCAUCAAAAUUCCUUCAACUAAAACCCACGGAAGGAGG